CCCCUCAGCCUGUACUCCUCCCGGAGGUGGAGGGCGGGCCUAUCGUGCCCGCGGCAACUCCGCCCUCCGGGCUCUCGGGGGCGUGGCCAGAGGGAAAACUUUGUGGGCCUGAAGAAGGUGGGGCUUGAGGAGGAGUCUGAGGGCGUGUGAGGGGCGAGGUUUAAGUGGACGCAGCAAGCAGCCUUGCGUCUUGACGUCACGAAGACCUUAUAAACUCGACUCAGCCGCCAUCUCGGCCUUUCGGAGCUGUGCGGCACGCUGAGCAGGAAUGGCAAUGUGGACCCCUGUGAUGGGACAUCUUGUGGGAUCUUACAGCCAGAUCUGUGGCAAAGGAGGAUGAAGGCUUAUGAGGACUCGUCAGGAAGCUGGAUAACAGAACGAGCGCAAUGUGCUAGAAUAGAAGACCAGAAAAUGAAAUGGUGGAGUUUGAGGCUGGAUAGACAGUUUGAAAGAUAUUACGCAUGGGUCACCUCAAGUGAAGGCGCUGCAAGCACAAUGAUUGGUCAUUCUGAAUUUCCCGUCCUUCAUUCUGAAUUUCAAAGGCUCCUGUGACAAGUGGACAUGCAGUGACUGUACCUUUUGUACCUUUGUUUCUGAGGUGCCUGGAUGGAGGCUCAAAUAGAAGAUGGUGUCAGAUAUAUUGUGUUGUCAAAAUUUUGCCAUUAAAGUGUAUUAUAACA
rnacentral:lncRNA from 1 species